CUCGGGUUACCGAAUUCAGACAAACUCCGAAUGCCAAUUAAUUUAACUUGGGAGUCAGAACAUGGGUGAUAAGGUCCGUGUUCGAAAGGGAAACAGCCCAGACCACCAGCUAAGGUCCCAAAAUAUAUGUUAAGUGGAAAAGGAUGUGGCGUUGCCCAGACAACUAGGAUGUUGGCUUAGAAGCAGCCAUCAUUUAAAGAGUGCGUAAUAGCUCACUAGUCGAGUGACACUGCGCCGAAAAUGUACCGGGGCUAAACAUAUUACCGAAGCUGUGGAUUGUCCUUUGGACAAUGGUAGGAGAGCGUUCUAAGGGCGUUGAAGCAUGAUCGUAAGGACAUGUGGAGCGCUUAGAAGUGAGAAUGCCGGUGUGAGUAGCGAAAGACGGGUGAGAAUCCCGUCCACCGAUUGACUAAGGUUUCCAGAGGAAGGCUCGUCCGCUCUGGGUUAGUCGGGUCCUAAGCUGAGGCCGACAGGCGUAGGCGAUGGAUAACAGGUUGAUAUUCCUGUACCACCUAUAAUCGUUUUAAUCGAUGGGGGGACGCAGUAGGAUAGGCGAAGCGUGCGAUUGGAUUGCACGUCUAAGCAGUAAGGCUGAGUAUUAGGCAAAUCCGGUACUCGUUAAGGCUGAGCUGUGAUGGGGAGAAGACAUUGUGUCUUCGAGUCGUUGAUUUCACACUGCCGAGAAAAGCCUCUAGAUAGAAAAUAGGUGCCCGUACCGCAAACCGACACAGGUAGUCAAGAUGAGAAUUCUAAGGUGAGCGAGCGAACUCUCGUUAAGGAACUCGGCAAAAUGACCCCGUAACUUCGGGAGAAGGGGUGCUCUUUAGGGUUAACGCCCAGAAGAGCCGCAGUGAAUAGGCCCAAGCGACUGUUUAUCAAAAACACAGGUCUCUGCUAAACCGUAAGGUGAUGUAUAGGGGCUGACGCCUGCCCGGUGCUGGAAGGUUAAGAGGAGUGGUUAGCUUCUGCGAAGCUACGAAUCGAAGCCCCAGUAAACGGCGGCCGUAACUAUAACGGUCCUAAGGUAGCGAAAUUCCUUGUCGGGUAAGUUCCGACCCGCACGAAAGG
rnacentral:rRNA from 1 species